UACAGAGGUCUCAAGCGUUGUUCGGAUUCAUUGGGCGUAAAGGGUGCGUAGGCGGCGCGGUAAGUCGGGUGUGAAAUCUCGGGGCUUAACUCCGAAACUGCAUUCGAUACUGCCGUGCUUGAGGACUGGAGAGGAGACUGGAAUUCAUGGUGUAGCAGUGAAAUGCGUAGAGAUCAUGAGGAAGACCAGUGGCGAAGGCGGGGUCUCUGGACAGUUCCUGACACUGAGACACGAAGGCCAGGGGAGCAAACGGG
rnacentral:rRNA from 1 species